UCUGACUAAUGUUUUUCCCUCGCAUCCACACACUAAUGACAUUGAUUGGAUCAUAAUAAUGCCAGUCUAACAGUUUCCUGACGUGAUUGACGGAGUGCUUUUGAACAUGUGCAGAUUAUUUAAACCUCGAGAAGGAGCAACUUCUGCUUUUGAAAAAGUAACAAACAAACCCCGAACUUUAUUACAGGAUGUGCCAUAUAUAUGGGAGCAUGUGCAGAGUGCCUUUGAGAGCGACACAGACUGAGACACAAAAGGCGGAAUUGGGGUGGCGGGAGAAAUAAAUGUCGGCGUGUACAAGUUAGAGCGCAGUAAUAAACAUUAGUACAAAUUCCAUCGAAGUUGAAUUACAGUUUUAUUUAUUCCGUGUGACCGAACUAGAUGUUCUUUUCCUUCGCAACUCUCUCCAUUUUAGUCAAUAAGCACUUAUUUAGCUGCGUGUCUUCCAGUGUUUGUCCUGUUAACGGU